UUCCAGGAUAGCCAGGGCUACACAGAGAGAUCUAGGUCCAAAAAAAAAAAUUUUUUUUUAAAUUAAUAUUCUACAGUUUAAACUUGUGAGAUUUAGUUAUUAAUCUUAAAUCUGACCAGAAAAUAAUCUUAAUUUGCAAUACCUGAAAAAAGUAUUUCUGUUAUUUAUAGAUACCAGCUCUUGUUUCUUUUCAAUAGUGUACUAUUGUAUGUUUGUUUGUUUGUAUAUGUAUUUAAGAAAGAUAGGGUCUUCUUACUAGCUCUAGCUGGACUAGAAGUCACUGUCUAGAUCAGGCUGGCUUCAGUCUCAUGCAGAUUCGCCUGUUUCUAACUUCCAAAUUCUGGCUUUAGAGGUGUGUACCAAUAUGCCAACUUCGAUAGAGAAUUAAAAAUAUUUUAAGUAACAGUUAUGUUUAUGAUUUAAGGCAACGGAAACCUACUGGCUGUUGAAAUAGCUCAAGUUUCAGUCCUGGCUGUCUGGAACUGACUCUGUAGACCAGGCUGGCUUCAAACUUGGAGAUCUGCCCGCUUCCUGAGUGCUAGGAUUAAAGAUGUGCACUGCCACCAACCUGCUUCUUUUUCUUUUUUUUUUUUUACAAAAUUAUUAAUGGUUUUGAUGUGCUGUGUGUGGUUACACAUGAGUGUGUGACUGUGUGUUCCCACGUGUGCACUUGUGGAGGCCAGGCCAAGAUGCCAGUUGUCUUUCUUCAUGGGCUUUCUCUGCAGCUCUCUCUCCUGAGGGCCUUGAAGACAGGGUCUGCCAGGAACCAGAAGCUCACUGGCACGAUAGGCUGCCGCUUGCAGGAUCUCCCUGCCUUUGUCCUUCAGUGCUAGGCUUAAUGUGAAGCUAUGCAUGGCUUUUUGUAUGAAUGCUAGGGUUUCAGAUUCCAUGUGCCCAGGGUUACAGAGCAAGUGUUUUUACCCACAGCCAUCUCCCCUGCUUAGUUUCAUUUUCCUGGUGGAGUAGGAAGAGUGAGAGCUAUUUUGUUGUGGUAAUAAUUAAUCUCAAUUAGGGGUUUCUACCCUGCCUUAGAUCAUCCAGUUCCCAUAAAAGACACAAAGCCUUUAUACGUAGGAUAAGCUUUAAUCAGCACUAGAGUUGGGCAGGAAUCUACCCUCUGUGCUAUUGUGUUUACUUCCCUGCCAAUAACCCUGAGCUAUGGCUUGUCACAUUCUGACUGGGGCACUCUUACUCCAACUGGCUAGCCCUCUUUGCUGUGUUUUCAUGAUUCAUCUCCUCCAUGGGGCUUUUCUCUUCCCUUCUCCCUCCUCUCCUGGUCCUACCUCCGACCCCAACCCUAGGAACUGAAACCUUGCUACCUCUCUUCUGCCCAGCUGUAGGCAUCUUUAUUCAACCAACAGUUUUAAAUUAAGGAGCAAGGCUACAUAGUAUCAUAUGGUGUAAAUUAAGAUUUCCUCAUCCCUGAGGCAUCUCCUGGCUGUCCUGGAACUCAUUCUGUAGCGCAGACUGGCCUUGAACUCAGAGAUCCACCUACCUCUGCCUUUUGAUUUAAAGGCAUAUGCCAACACCAUCCAGCAUAUUUUUUGUUUUGAAUGAAUGAGUUUAUUAAGUACAUAGCAAAUGUAAGUAAAAGAAUAAUAGAAAGAAAAAAAACAUCAAAUCAGAUGGUCAAAACAGACAGCAGCCCAAGACCCAGAAUUGGAGUUCCUAGAGGUUAUCCUGGAUGUCCCCUCAGGCACGGCUUCCAAGUACCAGCACAAAUAACAGCAGAAAAGUGAUACCUACCAUCAAACCAGGGGCUUUCUAAUGUCCAGCAGAAACCCUGCUGAGAAAGUCUGUUAAGGCGGCUUGCUGUUGUUUCCAGUGGACAUGCCCAGUUGAAGCAGAGUUUCCCUUUGGGUGAAGCUUCCAAGUCAUAGAAUGCAUGGCAGUGUCGAGAGAUAAAAGCAUCAAAUGGAUGCUUAUAGCCUCCAGCCAAAGACAAACAGUGGGCAGUUAUCUAGAGAUAUCAAGUGAGCUUUCCUGCAUGGUUGAGCUCCAUUUGUUCUCUCCCCUGAGAGGCUGAACUUUGAGCUUUUUUUCCCUUUUAUUUUAUUAUUUACUUACUUUAAGAUUUUAUUUAUUUAUGUGUCCUGUGUGUGUUCGUAUGCACACCUGUGUGCUAGUGCCUGUGGAGGCCAGAAGAGAACAUUGGAUCUCCUGGAGCUGGAGUUACAAGCAGUUGUGAGCCACUUGCCGUGGAUGCUGGGAAUCCAACUUAACCAGUGAGCCAUCUUUCCAGCCCCAGGGCAGGCACCUGUAUUUCAUGGGCUAGACAAUAAUAAUAUCAGGUGGGAAUGGCUUUAUCUUCUAGCUGUUUUCCAGGACAUGAUGUUUUUAUACUUGGACAAUUCUGCUUUAUUCCUAUGUGUCACAGCUAGUGGUGUCUAGCACAUUCCCAGGCAAGGGGUCUCUGUAGACACUUGACAGAAUAAACAUGCUUGGAACUGAGAUGGGGGGGGGGGGCGAUCCCACUUCUAGUACUAGCUGCUCAGUGAGAUCAGAUAACAUGUGACAGUUUACCAAUAUAACUGCAUUAUGAGAGUGCAGCUAAUGAACAAGAGUGGGGUCAGUGAUCUGGCGCAGAGGGUAAAGGCUCCUGCUGCUAAGUGUGCCAACAGAUCUGAUGGACUGAGUCUCACCCCUGGUACCCACAUGUGUUGGCUGAAGCACAUGCAUACAAUAACAAAAGGCAAAUACAUGUAGAAAUGUAGACAUAGGGGAGGGGAAGGCUUAGUUUUAAACCUUUCAGCUUCAUUUUUCC
rnacentral:lncRNA from 1 species